UACGUAGGGUGCGAGCGUUAACCGGAAUUACUGGGCGUAAAGCGUGCGCAGGCGGUUUUGUAAGCCAGAUGUGAAAUCCCCGGGCUUAACCUGGGAAUGGCAUUUGGGACUGCAAGGCUGGAGUUUGGCAGAGGAGACUGGAAUUCCCGGUGUAGCAGUGAAAUGCGUAGAUAUCGGGAGGAAUACCGAUGGCGAAGGCAGGUCUCUGGGCUAUAACUGACGCUCAUGCACGAAAGCGUGGGGAGCAAACAGG
rnacentral:rRNA from 1 species